rnacentral:lncRNA from 1 species
AGCCAUUGUUCUCCACAAACAAACCCUAAUCCGAUACGAGAAUAUGCGCAGCCAGCGACCAGAAGCGCCACUAUCCUCAUUAUUACUGCCUUUGCGCUACCCCGACGUCCACGCUGCCGCUGGGACGCCGCUGCCUCUUCACCGACACUCACCAUCGACGCCAUGGACAACUCCUCCUCCUCUAAGUCUGACGGUCAGCGACAUCUACUCCUCUCUCUCUCUCCCUGUGUGUGUGUGUGUGAUUACUCUCUCCACUUCAUGUUUUAGGAUGCUUCAUACCAUAUGUAAGGUUGUAUUCCACACACCCACUAGAUCUAUUUCUCUAAUGGUCCUGUUUUUCCUAUCAUCUAUGUCAGUCAGAUCACCUCAGUGCAAACGGAUGGAAAUUUUCAGGAUUUGGUGGGCUCGUCUCAUCUGCUAUUGGAAAAAUGACCUCCGUGCAAUUGCCGCUGCCGAAACUUCGUCUGAUGGUCACAAGUUUCAGUAGCAGGAGGCCAUCAAAUUAAACGGAGAGACUUUGUGUAUAGCAGCCAUCGUCGUUCAACGACGUGAUGUGAAAUUGAUGGACCCAACAAGGCCCGGCGACAGGAACAUUUGGACGUCAACCCAGCGUCAAUGAGUACGAUUUGCCGAUGCUUACCAUGGUGGACCGAUGGGGAGCUGCUGAGGCGGCCGAUGACGUGGGCACGUUCGCUUGAGUUUAUUAACCAAAAUUAAUAACUAUUCAAUUAUAUUUUAUUAAUAAGUCAACCAAUGGUAUUUCAUGGCUUAUCAGGUAAACAAAGAAGUUGUCGCCAUCCGUCCGCUGAAGCUAAGGACGCCACCUCAACCGCAUCACAUCGUCGCCUGCCGGUGCCUGAUGGUACCUACGUGCUGUACGUGCGGCCGGGAGGAGGGAGACGUGUGACGCGGAGGCGACGACGGACGGAGUAGUCGAAAGCCGCCGGAGGAAUCGACGAAGCUGGUGGCUGCGGAGUGACCAGACGGCCGGCCAGCCGAAAUCAGUCGCACGUACCAUUCGUGCCGCCGUACGUCCCGUCAGGCCGGCCGUCACCUUCUCCGAUCCUGUUACCGCCGUGGCGUACGUGGAUGGACAAGCUAGAAUUCGUCCUUGAUCAGCUGGAGGCUGAGCAGGGUUAAGGCCUUGUUUAGUUCACCCAAAGAGCAAAAAGUUUUCAAGAUUCUUCAUCAAAUCGAAUCUUGCGGCACAUGCAUGAAGCAUUAAAUAUAGACGAAAGCAAAAAUUAAUU